CGAGCGGGCCACGUGAUCGUCCCGAGCAAUCGGGGAGGAAAGUCCGAACUCCGAACGGGUGGCAUGCCGGGUAAUCCCCGGUCGCGGCGACGUGAAGGAAAGUGCCACAGAAAUUAAACCGCCUUCUGCCCUUCGCGGGGUGGACGGUAAGGGUGAAACGGUGCGGUAAGAGCGCACCGCCCCGGCGGCAACGCCGGGGGCAGGGUAAACCCCAUGCGGAGCAAGGCCAAAUAGGGAGGCGGAGGGUACCCGUCCCGUUCCACUUCGGUGGACCGUCUCCGGGUCGGCUGCUGGAAUCCGGGAGCGAUCCCGGGUCUAGAGGAAUGAUCGCGGCCCCGGGCAACCGGGGAACAGAAUUCGGCUUACCGGCCCGCUCGGGGU
rnacentral:RNase_P_RNA from 1 species